GAAUUUAAAAAAUUAUUUUAUUUUUUAGUUUAUAUUUUUUUUAUUUGAAGUAACAUAAAUUUUAUUAUAUUUAAAGAAAAAAUUUAUAUUAUGAUAGUUAAUUAGUAUUGUGAAAGAAAUUUUUAAUAAUAUUUUUAAGAAAAAUUUAAUUUUUGUACCUUGUGUAUCAGGGUUAAUUAAUUAAUAUUUAUUAAUUUUUAAAUUUCUCGAAUUUAAAAGAGUUAAUUAUUUAUAAAUUUUAUUGUAAAAUAAAUAUUUAUAAUAAAUAAUUUGAAAUGAAACGUUAUUCGUUUUUAAAUAUAUCUAGUUUUUUAAGAAAAAAUUUUAAUUUUUUUAUUAAUAUUUAAUUAUUUUAUUUUUUAAUUUUUUAUUAUUAAUAAAAAAUUUAUUUAGGGAUAAGCUUAGAUAAAAAUUUUUAUAAUUAAAUUUAUUUUUAAUAAUUUAUAGGAUUAUAAUUUUCUAUUAAUAAAAAAAUGUUAUAAUUAAUUAUUGUUUUAUUAAAAUUUAUAUUUAAUUUAAUUAAUUUAUUAAAAAAUUUUUGUUAAUUAUAUUUAUAAAGUUAUAAUGAUUAAAUUAGUAUAAAUUAUUGUUUGAAAUUAUGUUUAAUUUAGGUUAAUUAAAGGAAUUCGGCAAAUUUAUUUUUCACCUGUUUAUUAAAAACAUGUCCUUUUGAUUAUAAUUUAAGGUCUAAUCUGCCCACUGAAUAUUAAAUGGCUGCGGUAUUUUGACCGUACAAAGGUAGCAUAAUAAAUAGUUUUUUAAUUGAAAGCUGGAAUGAAUGAUUGGAUGAGAAAAUGACUGUCUCUAAUUAAUUUUUUUAGAAUUUUAUUUUUAAGUUAAAAAGCUUAAAUUUUUUUAAAAGACGAGAAGACCCUAUAGAGUUUAAUAAUUAUAAUAAUUUUUAUUUAUAGUUUAAAAAUUAAAGAUUAAUUUAAUUAUUUUGUUGGGGUGACAGAAAAAUUUAUUAAACUUUUUUUAUAUUU
rnacentral:rRNA from 1 species